rnacentral:tRNA from 1 species
GUAGUCGUGGCCGAGUGGUUAAGGCGACAGACUUGAAAUCUGUUGGGAUAUUCCCGCGCAGGUUCAAAUCCUGCCAACUACG